AAUUGAUUCCAAAGUUUUUUGUCCAGUUUAAUAUUCUGAUUUUAACAGUGAAACACUCAAUACAAAAUUUGUAAAAUUCUCAAUCAAGCUUCAACAUUUCACGUUUUUGGCAACACUGACAGAAAGAAUAAUCAAACUGGCAGCCAACGAUUAUCUGUCAGUGACAGUAACACAAAAAUAAGCGCGAAAUAAAUAUAUUUCUUUGAGACAUAAUUAUUUACUGUCGCGGUGUCGGAAACUGAAAACUGAAAACUUUCCGAGAUGUUCAAAUACACUGACAACGAGCAGCAAGUUCCGCACUUCCCAUUGGUGCUCCAGUAACUUCUGCAGUAACUGUUCCAGCAGAAUGAGCAGCAAGGAAGAAAACGAUCGCACCAAGGAUCACAUUGCGGAUCCUCUAGAUCACAACCUGAGCUUCUUGAUCCGGCUUCAUCACGGCGGAUAUGACCAUUCUGCUAAGUUGCAUAAUAAAGGUCUGCUGGUGAAACAUUCUUUCCAAAGGCGUCCCACUGCGAUGGUUUCCUGCGGCAUCAUAAACCAUGUCUGGAUCCAUAAAUAUGAUACCCAACAAUGCACAUCAGAAUCUCAUUUCAUCCGAGAUUUCAUCAGCUGAUAAAUCAGCAGGAGCAGCAUUGAAGAAGAUACUGGAACGGGGUGAUAAUUUGCAGUUAAAAUUACUGUUUGGUUGUUAUAAAUAAUAUAAAUAAAAUUUGAUAUGAAUAAGAAAUAAAAUGCAAAAAAAGAAUCAAAUGCGCAAAAUUUUAUUUACAUUUUAAAUGUGUAAGCUUUAUUGUGAAAUUAAAAGCGCAUACCAUCUGUUAUUUUAAAAAUAUUACUAGUUAAUUCAAAUGAAAAAUACACAUUUAAUUUUAAGAGGAAAAUGUUAUUUUGAAAAUUCGACUCUUGUAGAAGUUUUCACUAAAGUGACAUUUUUACAAUUGUAAA